GAGUUUGAUCUUGGCUCAGGAUGAACGCUGGCGGCGUGCUUAACACAUGCAAGUCGAACGAAGCGCCUUAUUUGAUUUUCUUCGGAACUGAAGAUUUGGUGACUGAGUGGCGGACGGGUGAGUAACGCGUGGGUAACCUGCCCUGUACAGGGGGAUAACAAUCAGAAAUGACUGCUAAUACCGCAUAAGACCACAGCACCGCAUGGUGCAGGGGUAAAAACUCCGGUGGUACAGGAUGGACCCGCGUCUGAUUAGCUGGUUGGUGAGGUAACGGCUCACCAGGGCGACGAUCAGUAGCCGGCUUGAGAGAGUGAACGGCCACAUUGGGACUGAGACACGGCCCAAACUCCUACGGGAGGCAGCAGUGGGGAAUAUUGCACAAUGGGGGAAACCCUGAUGCAGCAACGCCGCGUGAGUGAAGAAGUAUUUCGGUAUGUAAAGCUCUAUCAGCAGGGAAGAAAGUGACGGUACCUGACUAAGAAGCCCCGGCUAACUACGUGCCAGCAGCCGCCGUAAG
rnacentral:rRNA from 1 species